GGGCACUCUAGCGAGACUGCCGGUAAUAACCGGAGGAAGUGGGGAGUGACGUCAAAUCAUCAUGCCCCUUAUGACCUGGGCUACACACGUGCUACAAUGGUUGGUACAACGAGUUGCGAGUCGGUGACGGCGAGCUAAUCUCUUAAAGCCAAUCUCAGUUCGGAUUGUAGGCUGCAACUCGCCUACAUGAAGUCGGAAUCGCUAGUAAUCGCGGAUCAGCACGCCGCGGUGAAUACGUUCCCGGGCCUU
rnacentral:rRNA from 1 species